ensembl:snRNA LOC120096860 U4 spliceosomal RNA
AGCUUUGCGCAGUGGCAGUAUCGUAGCCAAUGAGGUUUAUCUGAGGCGCGAUUAUUGCUAGUGGAAAAAAGGAGAAACAAACAAACAAAGGUAAAGGAGCCCUGUUGAAAGG